rnacentral:rRNA from 1 species
UACGUAGGGUGCAAGCGUUAAUCGGAAUUACUGGGCGUAAAGCGUGCGCAGGCGGUUGUGUAAGACAGAUGUGAAAUCCCUCGGCUUAACCGGGGAACUGCGUCUGAUACUGGAUGGCUUGAGUUCGGGAGAGGGAUGCGGAAUUCCAGGUGUAGCGGUGAAAUGCGUAGAUAUCUGGAGGAACACCGGUGGCGAAGGCGGCAUCCUGGACCGACACUGACACUGAGGAGCGAAAGCCAGGGGAGCAAACGGG